UGCCUCUUGAUGCUUACCACAAGCUGUGCUCUUACACUGACAGUGUAGAAAAAGGAAGGAAAGUAAACCUACUCCAUAUACACCUCAGCCCAGGCCCUGUGCCUGGUCUGUACUGUGAGUGGGGAGACAUGG
rnacentral:snoRNA from 1 species